AUGGACAACAUAUUUUUUUGCUCCUUUUCACCCACUUUGUUCCUUCUAUCAGUGUUGAAUUUUUUCCCCAAAUCAGUUUUGCUCUCAGCAAGGGUGCUUCGCUGUAUCAAUGACGAGCCAUCCUUACCCAGCUAUGCGCUCGACAACUGCAGCCAAGAUCGCUUCCUCUCUCCUUUCCCCACCCCCCUCCAAUUUUUUGGCUCUGUGUGUGAUGGGAAAGGGGGCUGGGCGAUGGCACGUGAUGGGAUCGCCAAGGGUGUAGCAAGGGGAGAGGGGAAUCAAGCUAAUUGUCUAAAGAUCCGCCCCUCCCCCAAGAAAAGUUUCGGCCGGUGCAAAGAAUCACGACCUGAAUUUGAUCCUGAUUUCUCUCUCUAA
rnacentral:rRNA from 1 species